CCAUUUAUUUGUGCAAUGCACAUUAUCAUAUGUACAGCUCCACAUGGAGAACAGGAACAGAAAAAAAAGGACACAGAAAAUAAAUUAAUGUCACAAUACUGAUACAGCAAACAAACACAGAGCUGUAUCAAAACCGUGCCUCUUCCUUACAGAGAACAAUAUUAAUGAACACCACACAUUCACUACUUGUGUGGGAGGGGGAGUUCCAUCCUGGAUACAGGGAUCCUUUCUUUUGCUCAGUUCUCGCUAAUCAGUUGUCUUUGUCCAUUGUUAGCAUUCAAGGCUUUAUAGUCGCAUUGUGUCAAAGGGAAGAUAAUGGCAAAACGUAAGAGAUAGAGAAAACUGCUUUGAUAAAGUUAAAGCUUCAGUAUAUCACCGCAUGAUUGCGAAAAGAGGAAGGCAAAGCAUGAACAAGAUGUACAGCAAGUACUGCAAGUUACGACACAAGUGUGUUCUGGAUUUACCUAAUGCCAUUCAAGUGCAAAUAUAUUGAGAAGAGAAAGGGCAGAUCAGUGGCUGUACACUCUAGAAACGUCCUUUGGACCACGUGCCACUUACAGUCAAACAUGCAGUACAUUAUGAGGAUACCGAUAUAGCUGGAUUUUAAAGACAUAUCCACUUACGUUGCGUAAUGGCCUUGAUGAUUUCAUGUCAAAAUAUUAAUGGUCCACUCUGAAUGAUAUGUUAAGUCGGUUUAAAAGACACCUAUGGUAAUAAAAACAACAGGUUUUGAACACUAUCCAUCGAUCACAUUCCUCAGUCAAAAGGUGUUUCAGUAGCAAGCAUGAACGCAGUAGAAUUGUAUGCUAGGCAAAACUUCAAGCAAAUUUUAGGAUUCCUGAUAACCGUUUAGUACUAAGGGGCCGUUCACACAUAACGUGUUUUUCUAUUCCAAUUGAAUUAUUGUUUUUCUAUGUAAACGCGCUAGAUUGACCUUUGCGCUUGCAUCUUUUGCAGCUUCUCGCACACGACACGUUUUUAAAAGCAAAAACGCGUUCCGUUUGAGUGGCCCCUAAGAAGUGUAACUAGUUCUUUAGGGCACCAUUAACCAGUUAAAGACAUUAAGUUAACAUAAACGUCAACUUUCAGCUCAAAUCAAGCCAUGUCACUUUGAGGCUGCAAAACUACUUUUUCUAUGGAAUAACUACAUGAAUAAACAAUUUCCUUUGACUUAUGUUGUAAACAGUAUGUUAUUAUAGUGCAACAUAUACAUACAGAUCAAUAUUCAGUAGAAAACAACAUAAGAAUAAACUGCUAGUUAAAUCAACAGCAUUUCACAGAUCAAGUUUGAAAAAAACUCCCAUUUCCUGUACAGUCUUUCAAACGUAUUGUGCUUCUGCCCCCUAGUCCCGCGUCAUUUAGCUUCUGAAAGAAGUUAUGUUUUACAUGACA